rnacentral:rRNA from 1 species
UACGAAGGUGGCAAGCGUUGUUCGGAUUUACUGGGCGUACAGGGAGCGUAGGCGGUUGGAUAAGCCCUCCGUGAAAUCUCCAGGCUUAACCUGGAAAGUGCAGAGGGGACUGUUCAGCUAGAGGAUGGGAGAGGAGCGCGGAAUUCCCGGUGUAGCGGUGAAAUGCGUAGAGAUCGGGAGGAACACCGGUGGCGAAGGCGGUCUGCUGGGCAGUUGCUGACGCUGAUGCGCGACAGCGUGGGGAGCAAACAGG